rnacentral:rRNA from 1 species
UACGUAGGGUGCAAGCGUUUAAUCGGAAUUACUGGGCGUAAAGCGUGCGUAGACGGUUACAUAAGUCGGGUGUGAAAGCCCCGGGCUCAACCUGGGAAUUGCAUUCGAGACUGCGUAGCUAGGGUGCGGAAGAGGGAAGCGGAAUUUCGGGUGUAGCGGUGAAAUGCGCAGAUAUCAGGAGGAACACCGGUGGCGAAGGCGGAUCUCUGGGCCGACACUGACGCUGAGGAGCGAAAGCGUGGGGAGCGAACAGG